rnacentral:lncRNA from 1 species
UUAUACAACUGUGCACUAACAUAGGAGGAAAAAGAGGUGCCCGAUUAAAUUAAAGAGUUUAUGCAUUAUUGGAUGUCUGCCUUUGGAAUGGUAUUAUUACAUAUGCAGAAAACUUACGCUAUGAACGACAAUAUGAUCCUUACCCUUCUCUAAAUAUAAGGAAUAAUUUAUGAGACAUUAACUAGGUCCAUAGCUUUGUAAAGAUUUAUGGGUUAAGAUUCAAGAAAAAUACAAGCUUUGGGAUUAAAGUUAGCGGUUCAAAUUCCAAACAGCUUUCUCUAGACACAUGACCCAGGACAGACAAGCCUGUUAUGUACAAUGUCGUGCUAAGGAGGAGGAAUAAUACA